GAUCCAUUUUGCAGCGGCGGCGACUCUGGACGUGCGCCGGGCCUUCUCGCGGAUCUCACAGGCUAUGGUCG
rnacentral:rRNA from 1 species